rnacentral:rRNA from 1 species
CCAUCUCCUAAGGCUAAAUACUCUCUAGUGACCGAUAGUGAACCAGUACCGUGAGGGAAAGGUGAAAAGCACCCCGGAAGGGGAGUGAAAUAGAACCUGAAACCGUGUGCUUACAAGUAGUCAGAGCCCGUUAAUGGGUGAUGGCGUGCCUUUUGUAGAAUGAACCGGCGAGUUACGAUUUGAUGCAAGGUUAAGCAGUAAAUGUGGAGCCGUAGCGAAAGCGAGUCUGAAUAGGGCGUUUAGUAUUUGGUCGUAGACCCGAAACCAGGUGAUCUACCCUUGGUCAGGUUGAAGUUCAGGUAACACUGAAUGGAGGACCGAACCGACUUACGUUGAAAAGUGAGCGGAUGAACUGAGGGUAGCGGAGAAAUUCCAAUCGAACCUGGAGAUAGCUGGUUCUCUCCGAAAUAGCUUUAGGGCUAGCCUCAAGUGAUGAUUAUUGGAGGUAGAGCACUGUUUGGACGAGGGGCCCCUCUCGGGUUACCGAAUUCAGACAAACUCCGAAUGCCAAUUAAUUUAACUUGGGAGUCAGAACAUGGGUGAUAAGGUCCGUGUUCGAAAGGGAAACAGCCCAGACCACCAGCUAAGGUCCCAAAAUAUAUGUUAAGUGGAAAAGGAUGUGGCGUUGCCCAGACAACUAGGAUGUUGGCUUAGAAGCAGCCAUCAUUUAAAGAGUGCGUAAUAGCUCACUAGUCGAGUGACACUGCGCCGAAAAUGUACCGGGGCUAAACAUAUUACCGAAGCUGUGGAUUGUCCUUUGGACAAUGGUAGGAGAGCGUUCUAAGGGCGUUGAAGCAUGAUCGUAAGGACAUGUGGAGCGCUUAGAAGUGAGAAUGCCGGUGUGAGUAGCGAAAGACGGGUGAGAAUCCCGUCCACCGAUUGACUAAGGUUUCCAGAGGAAGGCUCGUCCGCUCUGGGUUAGUCGGGUCCUAAGCUGAGGCCGACAGGCGUAGGCGAUGGAUAACAGGUUGAUAUUCCUGUACCACCUAUAAUCGUUUUAAUCGAUGGGGGGACGCAGUAGGAUAGGCGAAGCGUGCGAUUGGAUUGCACGUCUAAGCAGUAAGGCUGAGUAUUAGGCAAAUCCGGUACUCAUUAAGGCUGAGCUGUGAUGGGGAGAAGACAUUGUGUCUUCGAGUCGUUGAUUUCACACUGCCGAGAAAAGCCUCUAGAUAGAAAAUAGGUGCCCGUACCGCAAACCGACACAGGUAGUCAAGAUGAGAAUUCUAAGGUGAGCGAGCGAACUCUCGUUAAGGAACUCGGCAAAAUGACCCCGUAACUUCGGGAGAAGGGGUGCUCUUUAGGGUUAACGCCCAGAAGAGCCGCAGUGAAUAGGCCCAAGCGACUGUUUAUCAAAAACACAGGUCUCUGCUAAACCGUAAGGUGAUGUAUAGGGGCUGACGCCUGCCCGGUGCUGGAAGGUUAAGAGGAGUGGUUAGCUUCUGCGAAGCUACGAAUCGAAGCCCCAGUAAACGGCGGCCGUAACUAUAACGGUCCUAAGGUAGCGAAAUUCCUUGUCGGGUAAGUUCCGACCCGCACGAAAGGCGUAACGAUUUGGGCACUGUCUCAACGAGAGACUCGGUGAAAUCAUAGUACCUGUGAAGAUGCAGGUUACCCGCGACAGGACGGAAAGACCCCGUGGAGCUUUACUGUAGCCUGAUAUUGAAAUUCGGCACAGCUUGUACAGGAUAGGUAGGAGCCUUUGAAACGUGAGCGCUAGCUUACGUGGAGGCGCUGGUGGGAUACUACCCUAGCUGUGUUGGCUUUCUAACCCGCACCACUUAUCGUGGUGGGAGACAGUGUCAGGCGGGCAGUUUGACUGGGGCGGUCGCCUCCUAAAAGGUAACGGAGGCGCUCAAAGGUUCCCUCAGAAUGGUUGGAAAUCAUUCAUAGAGUGUAAAGGCAUAAGGGAGCUUGACUGCGAGACCUACAAGUCGAGCAGGGUCGAAAGACGGACUUAGUGAUCCGGUGGUUCCGCAUGGAAGGGCCAUCGCUCAACGGAUAAAAGCUACCCCGGGGAUAACAGGCUUAUCUCCCCCAAGAGUUCACAUCGACGGGGAGGUUUGGCACCUCGAUGUCGGCUCAUCGCAUCCUGGGGCUGUAGUCGGUCCCAAGGGUUGGGCUGUUCGCCCAUUAAAGCGGUACGCGAGCUGGGUUCAGAACGUCGUGAGACAGUUCGGUCCCUAUCCGUCGUGGGCGUAGGAAAUUUGAGAGGAGCUGUCCUUAGUACGAGAGGACCGGGAUGGACAUACCUCUGGUGUACCAGUUGUCGUGCCAACGGCAUAGCUGGGUAGCUAUGUGUGGACGGGAUAAGUGCUGAAAGCAUCUAAGCAUGAAG